CACGUUCUGCCUAUGGAGAUGGUAUUUGCCAGCCCUCCCAUGGUUGUGUCAUUCUUGGAUGCCGUAACGCUCGGACGUCAGCUGUUGGUGUGUGAGGUUGAGAAGUGCCUCGGUGAUGCCUUGGAGAAGUUGUGUUCUGACACGAGCGUUGUGGUGGUCUGUGCUGUAUGAUGCUCAUUCAGUGCAGCAGAUUGGGAGCUGAAAGUUUCAUCAAUAAAUAUGACUCUGAUGGCUUCAUGUCAGCGGUCAAGCUGCUGCACAGCGUGGCACUGGUGCCUCUUGGCUUCUUGGGGCAUCUCCACUUCCCCAUCUGUGCAAUGAUGUCACCUUCAGUGACUGCAACUCCAGAGGAAGGACG